GUACAAAUCGGUUCUUAUCGGGUCGGAUCUAUUUGGGUCGGAUCUAUUCGGGUCGGUUCUUUUCGAUAUCGGAUCUAUUCGGGUAAAAAAAAUUAAAUUCGGUUCGGAUUCAGGUCGAGUAUUUUUGGAUCGGUUCCGAUUCAGAUUUUCGGAUCCAAGUUAAAAUGCCCAUGCCUACCUUUUGAUAUCCUCACAAGUCAAAAUGUUAAGAGUGGCAUCAUCGUUAAGUACCAGGAGAGACACAGUUAAGUACUCAAAUUUAUAUUAAACAAAAAUAUGUGAUAUUACAUAUACAUACAUAUACAUAUAUAUAUAUCUAUAAUAAUAAAUGAGGGUUUUCUCUCACCUCCUGCAGCCAUGUCAUCAUGGAGGGUGGGGCAUUAUUCGACACGUGUCGGCACCUGAGUCGUUCUGUCUUUUUUUUCUUCCUGUUUUUGUUUCUUGCGUUGUCUCAGACAGGAGUGUGAACUGGGCUUUAUAUUAUUUGCGCAUGAAGCCCAAAGUGGAGCCCAGUCUUCUUCAUGUUGUCUCGACCCACAAGUGCAUUAGGGUUUUCCCCCAUUUUCUUCUCGCGGCGCGAACUAACCGACGAAACCACAGUUAGGCUCGGAUUAACAGUGUUACCUCUCUAUCAAAUCAGAAAGCAACGAUCUCUGUUACUCAUCAACAUCAACAAUGGCGAAUUCCUGCAUCCUGCUUGGCGAUUUGAAAGCUGGCCGCUGCACAAACACUGUCGUGGUCCAUCUGCUGAGAUUCCGGGAGGCGAGAAAUGUGAAGAAAGGCGGUGAGCUAAUGGGUGGUGGCAUGCUCCUCCUGACGAGAAGGUUCGCUAAUGACGAGUUCGCAACUUCUUGUGUCAGCGUCUAAAGCUGGUAGGUGUACUGAAACCGUUGUGAUGAGGCUUGUGCGGUUUCGAGAAGCACGAAAUGUUAACAAGAAUGGUGAUCUCAUGGGUGUUGAUGUGGUCUUGGUGGAUGAGAGACCAACCCUCAUCCAGGGAUGUAUAAGCAGACAUCGGUUGAACAUCUUUCAACAACUCAGUAAAGAAUGAGCGGUUUAUGAGCUCAGUCUCUUCGAGGUAACAAGGAGUAAUCAGAACUUUAAAGUCUCGACGGCCACGUUUCUAUAAAGUUCCCGGAGAAGACCGCUUUUGUUGAGAUUGCAGAUAGAAUUAACCCGGAGCUUAAUGCAUAUGUCCUGAACUCGGAGCCACAUGCAAGUUUCUCUGCACUGUGAAAGUGGACAAUGACACUACGAAUGGGUGGUGCUACAUCUCAUGUUCUAAAUGCUCAAGAAAACUUUUAUAGGGGUUUCUCAUCACUUGCAUGUAUAUCAUGUAAAAACGAGAACGCUAUUGGAGUUCUGAAGUUAUCCACACUAAACAGAACAUCCCUCAUACCUUUUUUUUUUUUGAGCAACUCCCUCAUACCCUUUAACCAACCACAUCUUAUCACUCAUAUUAUGUGACUUAUGCAGGUACCGUAUGCAAAUGUCUAUAUCUAUGAUAUCUAUGAUGUCUCUGAAUGUGUUGUGUUUGUGGCUUUCGAUGGGUCAGUCGCCAAUAUGACAAAUGUCACAGUUGCAAAGGUCGCACAACUAAUGGUAACAUCCACAAAUAAUACAAUUUUGCAUCUGUUAGGCUCUUUACCAAAUAUGAACACUGGCUUGCUAGAAUGUAAUCUGCAAACAGAACCCAGGUGUUGAAGACUUAGAUGAGAGAUCCCUUCCAGAAUGUCUCAAGGAUUUAGUUUGGAGGACAUACACUUUCCAGUUAAAGCUGUCGGCAUUCAACUUUACUUAACAAGAGCAUCUCUCAGACCACGAUGAGCGUCCACUACAACCAAACUUUGAGGAAAGUGUAUGUUCAUACAUUCUCUGCAACUUAACUCACCUCAUCCUUUUUAGUAUUGAGAGAUUUUAAUUAUCCAUGUCCAGGGAAGUGAUAACAACCCAGGUGAUGACAUGCCUGGAUCUGGAACUGUGACAACAAAGCCCUCCCUUGGUGUAAGCAAAGCAACCCCUGAGGCCAGUGUAGGGGAUGGAUGCAUCCGGGAUUGUUGAAAGGAGCUGUUUCUGCGAUUGCAGCUUCACCUCCUGAACAUUAUUCCACGUGGCAUAAAUGCUGAGAAGAUGCCAUCUCCAAUAAAGGAGCCCGUUUGGACAAAGCUUUGGAAUACUUAGCUCCUUAACUUAUCGAACUAUGUUGACGACCGGACAAACGCCACUGCUACUCCUUUUUUCUUUUGGCUUUUUAAAUGUUUCAAUAAUUUAUAAUGGGCAUGACCAAUUUAAAACCAUUACUGUUAGAUUUUUUUUAUUUUUAAUAGCCUUGGUGAGAACGUAACUU